AUAACAGUGAAUAAUGAUAACGA
rnacentral:snRNA from 1 species